rnacentral:rRNA from 1 species
AUCAUUAUCAAAACAGCGGACUUCGGUCCUUGCUGCACCCUUGUCUUUUGCGUACCGUAUGUUUCCUCGGCGGGCUUGCCUGCCGGUUGGACAUUAUCAAACCUUUUUGUAGUUGCAAUCAGCGUCAGAAAAUAAUAAUAAUUACAACUUUCAACAACGGAUCUCUUGGUUCUGGCAUCGAUGAAGAACGCAGCGAAAUGCGAAAAGUAGUGUGAAUUGCAGAAUUCAGUGAAUCAUCGAAUCUUUGAACGCACAUUGCGCCCCUUGGUAUUCCAUGGGGCAUGCCUGUUCGAGCGUCAUUUUGUACCCUCAAGCACUGCUUGGUGUUGGGCGCUUGUCCUGCAAAGGACUCGCCUGAAAGCGAUUGGCGGCCAACGUACUGGUGGUAGAGCGCAGCACAAUUUGCGUCUUUCCCCUCUGCGUUAGCGUCCAUAAAGCCUAUUUCAACGUUUGACCUCGGAUCAGGUAGGGAUAC